UGCAGUGAAGACAGCUGUUUCUGUGGGAAGUCGUGCAACCUAAAUGCUGAAUUCCUGCUGCAGGCUGUCAAAGGCAGCAUUUUGUGAAGACCUGUAGGAGCUGAAUACAUCUGUGGGAUCAUUGGAAGACUUAGCAGGAAUUAAAGUGCCUUCCAGGCAGGGUGCCCAUGUCUUGUGCCCCAGGGUCACCAGAACCUGCCCAGCUCCAGCACUGGCCUCUUUUCCUCCAGCACGGCAGCAAAUACA